AACUUUUCAUAUCUACUCAGAUUCAGCGCCCAUCAUUAAAACCUUGCACCUUAUGAGCUAUCAUUCAGAUUCGCUAACAGAUGAAGCUUGAAUAAGAAUCACGGAUCUUCGGACUUUUCUUGAAAGUUCUAAUCAAUUUAGCUAUGGAUGGUCUUCAAGAUAUUCUAAAAAUGCUGUAGUUGCAGAUCGAUUGGCCAACUGGGGGCUCACUAGCAACAAACUGUCUUUUUGGUCCUCUGUAGAUGAAUUCUCUCAAAUUGUACCUCCCGUUUGAUAAAUAAAUUCGCCUUCGGGCGUGUUUUCCCUAAAAAAAAAAAAAAAUCUCCCAUCUCGCAUACAAAAUUUAUUUAAACUUUAAAUCAUUUUGAAUCGACUAUUUAAUCUUUCAAAAUUUUGAUUUUACUAUCCGACAUUCAAUUUGUUUGAGUUAAGUUAGUCUACGAUACUUUAACUUUAAAAUUUAAACUAAUUACUUACUUUUAUAAAUUUAUAGUCGUGAGAAUUACAUCAUUAUACUAACUAAACUUGUAAAGUCAAACAAUGCAUUCAAAAUUUGAAUUUAAAUUAUCCUUAAUUGAGUGAAAUCAAAUAAAUUGAAAGAUU
rnacentral:lncRNA from 1 species